GAGUGGUCUGGCUAUGACAUCUGUUACCCUGUUGAUUGUGAGAGUUGAUUUGUCUAAUCGAGCCAUGUGGAUAAGUGUCCCUUUUCUUCAUGUGUGUCCUUUCCAAAGCUGUGUAUUGGGUGGAAGAGGGUGAUCAUCUCCAGAAAAAGGGGAUGACAAAUUGACAAA
rnacentral:snRNA from 1 species